rnacentral:rRNA from 1 species
UACGGAGGGUGCAAGCGUUGUCCGGAUUUAUUGGGGUUAAAGGGUGCGUAGGCGGCUAAUUAAGUCAGCGGUGAAAUUCCACAGCUCAACUGUGGAACUGCCAUUGAUACUGGUUGGCUUGAGUACAGAUGAGGUAGGCGGAAUUGACAGUGUAGCGGUGAAAUUCGUAGAUAUUCGGAAGAACACCAGUGGCGAAGGCGACUGACUGGACAAGUAUUGACGCUGAGGUGCGAAAGCGUGGGGAGCAAACAGG